rnacentral:lncRNA from 1 species
CUGAAUCGCGCGGUCCAGUUACUUAGUUCUCGCUUAUGUUGUCAAAAAAAGUUACUAAUUUUUAAAUAAUAUUAUAAAAAUUUGAUUUGUUUUUUAAAUUUUUAAUGGUAAAACCCCUCAACUAUGUUUACUUAAUGUAAAAACCCCUAAAUUAAAAUUUAUCUGUAGUAAUGGUAAUUAUGACCUGCUAGGGUUUAAUUCAUUAAAUAACGUUAGUUUGAGGAUUUUUUCAUUAAAUAUUUAGUUUAGGAGUUUUUAUCAAAAACAAACAUAGCUGAGGAGUUUUAAUGUUAAAAAUCAUAAUUGAAUUGUACGAAAUCAUCUCAAAAGCCUAAACAAAACCGAAAGUGAACUAGACACGAUUUUUCCAAAGUAUUAAUCGGUUUUCAGUACUGUUAACUAAACCGAGCCAAAAACAGAAAGAAACAAACACAUAUCACCAUAUGGUUCCUAUACUCUAUAUCCAAACAAUAACUAUCAGAAACUGAAAAAUUAAACCUGAAACGAACUCCCAGAACUACACAUAUUUAUAUUUUAGAAUUCUCAGAAACUGAAAAAUUAAACCUGAAACGAACUCCCAGAAC